AUCAGGCUGUGCCUUAACUUCAUCAGGCAUGGAGGCAAUAUAUGAGGUAGAGGUGACCACAGGCUCAAUGACCCAUGCUGGUACUUUUGACAAUGUAUUCAUUACUCUGAUUGGCACACAAGGAGAAAGUGAGCGGACCAAACUUGGGAUUUUAAGAUGGGAAUGAAAGUGAAGUACAAAGUGGCCACCAAGUCCAUCCUUGCCACCCUCCUGCUGGUCAGGCUUGAGAAAGAUAUGUUCCUACCAGAGAAUGACUGGUUCUGCUCUAUGAUAAGUGUGAAAACUCCUGAGCAGGAUGUGAUCUUUUUCCCAAGUUAUCACUGGAUGGUAGAAAGGGAGGUGAUUGAGCUUCGAGAGGCUAAAGGUUUGCGUGUCUAUUCAUUACGAAUAAUUACAGGCAGCUACAUUGUUAAAGGGAUAGCUCACAUAAAAAAAUCUGUCAUCAUUUAUUCACCCUCAUUUUGUUCAUAUAUUGAAUUAUAUUAAUCUAUUGACUAUGUUAAUCUUUAAAAUCAUUUAAGUGAUUUUUUUCAGAGGGACAUUAAAAAAGAUUA